CCGGAAUUUGAAUUUUCUGUAAUUUUCACAUUUCACUAGUCUUCUUUGGACUAAAAGAAAAAAUCAUUAAAAAAUAAAAAAAAAACAUUCUAAGCUGGUGGGACUUACAAAAACAAAUGGCAGGCUGGAUUUGGCUUAUGUCACAUAGUUUGCAGACCAUGCUAUAGAUGAUAGUUUGACCAACAGGUAAUUUGGCCUUCCAGGAUCAGUUUGUUUCCUCGAACAACCCCGGGGAAUAAAACUUUUGUCAUCUGUGGGCGCAUUAAAAAACAAAACAAAACAAAACAAAACAAAACAAAACACCCAAGCCAAGUACUGCAUAUGUUGGUUGAAACAGAACCAAAUAAUUACCAUGUGACAAAAGAAUAGGAAUAAAAGUCCCUUUCUUUAUUGUUCAACUCUGGUGUACUACCCACAGGUAACAGCUGGGGUCCCUGUCCUCUAUGGUCUGAAGACACACCAGCCCAUCCUUCUUCCUCCCCAGAUGGCUGGACUACAUCUGCUUUGAGGAUCAAGCAGGAGACAGAGAUAAGCUGCCAGUUCCCCAAAUACAGAGUUGUACACUUUACGUCUUGAGAAUCAGACCUCCCACUGGUGGGAGCGCUUGCCCUUAACUGAUACACCAAGUAAGAAGGGAAUGGUUGUAUGUCUGAGCUGAACUGACAGGUGUCAAUGUUUCAUGAGACCUCUGGGUAGGAUCCCAUGAGGGAACCGUGGGCAAACCUUUCUUCCUGCCUCAACUUCCCCAGUCCCUCUGGCCUCAUUUGGGUCCCCAGCUGCUGGGGGGUAAGUUAUCUGGUCAGUCUAUAGGUUUGAUGUCUCCUAUGCUUUGUUUUGUUUUCUCUCUACUUUUCCUUUUGAUUUUCUGAGAGUGGACACUAAUUUAACUCUCAGCUUCCUCUUUUUUCCUUAGGGAAUCAAACCAGGUUAUUUUUGUUCAUGAGAUGGUGAAAUACACUGAAAGCAGUGAGGGGGGGGAAAGGCGUGAGAGAGAAAACGCCCGCUGCUUCCACUGGGAUCCUUGCUGGCUGUUCCUGAGUUUUCCAUGGAAAGCACUUAGACACUCAGAACAAAGGGAAGGAAGCACGAGCUCCUGCACAGAGAUGGGAAACAAAGGGGUAGUUCAACAGAGGAUGGCUCUGGAGGAUGGUGCAGGAACCGCGAAGGAGGAAGUGCUGAAGAGGUUGUGCUGCACAACCCUCCUGGACCUCCUGGAGCCUGAGACGUGA
rnacentral:lncRNA from 1 species